rnacentral:rRNA from 1 species
UACGAAGGGGGCUAGCGUUGUUCGGAAUUACUGGGCGUAAAGCGCGCGCAGGUGGUCUUUCAAGUCAGUGGUGAAAGCCCGGAGCUCAACUCCGGAAAUGCCAUUGAAACUGUAAGACUUGAGGAUGAGAGAGGUGAGUGGAAUUCCCGGUGUAGUGGUGAAAUGCGUAGAUAUCGGGAGGAACACCAGUGGCGAAGGCGACUUCCUGGCCUGUUCUUGACGCUGAGGCGCGAAAGCUAGGGGAGCAAACGGG